CGAACUGACUCAAAUGAUUCGCGAUCCCGGAACUGACUCAAAUGAUUCCCCAGAUAGCAAGCAGACGUUGAUUCAACGUCGAUUUUUGGUUGUAAAGGUCAGUAUCGGUCGUCGAUCAAAUUUCGAUGUUGAAUCAACGUUCACUAUUUGGUCGAUUGACAACACUGGCUAGCUGCAGCUCUGUUUCUCGCUGCUGUUUUCACUGCUUUCGAAAUGGUUUAGUGUUUUUGAACAAGUCCGUGAGCAUCCGUUAUCAGAGGAGAUUCUUCUAGUGCUUGAUGAUCUUCUGCAUCCCAUGAUGAGCAAACCUCCUGUCCAACAACAUCUCCAAGGCACACUGAUCCAUAUGACUAGCAGCGAAUAAUACACCGUGGACCAAAGAGGAAAAACUGACCACACACAGACAGAAGAAGACAGAGAAGAUCGCUGUAGUGCCUCAGUUCAAGCAGCACACAUGAACCGAUCGAAGACUAAACAAAACUAUCCAUCAAGUCCUCAUCUUGUGUGUCUGAUUUGAAGAGCUGGACGGUUCCGGGUUCCCUCUCAUCAUGGUUGAUCGCUGUCAGUGUAUGUAGUGUAUGUAUUACGUCCCUGUGUCAGCGGGAGAUGGUCCGACAGUCAGCCUCACGUGUGGAGACUUCAGAAGAUGCCAGACCUCACAAAGAUUUCAGAUGAUGGAAACUAUAGAUGAACAUGCAAAGCUGCUAAAUAAUCCUUAUAUUGUAAUCAUUGCCCUAAAAGGUAAGUUUGCAGGGUGUUUUAAGGUGUGCUCCUACACUUUCUGCUUGUACUCCUAUGUAUUUAUGAUACACAUGUAAAUGACUGUAAAUGAACAUGAAAAGCUGUUGCAUGCCUUUCUCACAAGCGCUCGCCUGUUAGCAGUGCUAAUUUUAUUUAACAAUGUUAUUACUGAGAUCAUUAAACAGUGAUUGUGACGAGUGGGGCGGGCCGAGAGCUUUGGGAACGGAGGGAGGCGGUGGAGUGAUUGGGGAUGAGCGACACCUGCUCCCCUCACCGGUCUCGAGUCUCACGGAGGAGAUGGAGGAUAUAAACCUGGACCAGAGAGAACCAGACCUGGGUUUAGCUGUGUUUGUGCGUGACAGUCGUCUGCGAGGGGCUGGCGCGAUGUUUUGACUUUGAUUGUCCGCCGGUUCCUGCCUCCUCCUUUCUGAUGCCGUUACAGUAUUAUUGUGACUUUAUUAAACGAUCCUCUCUGAAAAUACAGUUUCACAGUGUUAUCAGUGUACUUUCAGGGAGGAACUCUCAGUAAAUCUGCUUCACAGCACAUCAGUGAAAGCAGUUAACAGUUACAGACGUGUGUUGGAUCAGGGUCAGAUCUGAAUUCUGCAGGUAGAUAGAUCUCCAGCCCUGUUAUAUUGGUAAUGUAUGAUGCAUUUUGUUUUUAUUGAAGGUUUCCUGUGAUGAGCGUUGAAGAGAUCAGCACAUCAGAUGUUGGCCUGGACAGCUGUACAGUACACCACACUGACUUCUCUGCUUGGAUAGCUGACUGCUGCUGCUAUUAUGUUCUGUGAAGGUAUUAUUAUAGCAAACCUGAGCACCUGUGACAGUGGAAAUGUUGUCAUGAAUAGUCACACAUUCAUAUUUGUAAAUAUAAAGUCACAGAUAGAUUUUUUUAGUACUAACAAUGUUUCUUUUUAACUAAUUCUCUCCAGCAAACACAACACAACAGUUACACCAUUUCAUAUUCUGAGGUGCACAAACCCUAUUCUAAAAAUAAGAGAACAACAGUACACUAGUGCUCAGUUUAGCCCCUUUCACACUGAGAUUCUAGAUAAUACACGGGUAAUGAGAUUUUAGUUCAUUCACUCUGCAGUGAUUCUCCAGAAUCUGUGUGUGCGUUCACACACAACCCAUAAAGAUCCCGUAAAGACACAUGACAUUACGAUGUGACGUGUUUAGUUUGACUGAAGCUGGUGAACGAUGUCCGCUUCAGAACAGAUGAGGAACUAACUGAUCUCUGCUUCAUUACAGUUCACACAUAUGUUCUCGUCACAAACAUUGAUCUGCCUUUUUUUUUUUGGGACCACCGUGCUUUGUGAAAGGGGCUUUAGUCUAGCACACUACACAUUAGUUAUUUAUUUACUGUUAUUAUUAUUUAAUUUUUUAUUUAAG